rnacentral:rRNA from 1 species
UACGGAGGGUGCAAGCGUUAUCCGGAAUCACUGGGCGUAAAGGGCGCGCAGGCUGUAGAUCAAGUCAGCUGUGAAAUGUCUGGGCUUAACCCGGGCAUGCGGUUGAAACUGAUGUACUGGAGUGCUGUAGAGGCAAGUGGAAUUCCCAGUGUAGCGGUGAAAUGCGUAGAUAUUGGGAAGAACACCGGUGGCGAAGGCGACUUGCUGGGCAGCAACUGACGCUGAGGCGCGAAAGCCAGGGGAGCAAACGGGA